rnacentral:rRNA from 1 species
UACGAAGGGUGCAAGCGUUACUCGGAAUUACUGGGCGUAAAGGGUGCGUAGGUGGUUCUUUAAGUCUGCUGUGAAAGCCCCGGGCUCAACCUGGGAAUGGCAGUGGAUACUGGAGAGCUAGAGUGCGGUAGAGGGUAGUGGAAUUCCCGGUGUAGCAGUGAAAUGCGUAGAGAUCGGGAGGAACACCAGUGGCGAAGGCGGCUACCUGGACCAGCACUGACACUGAAGCACGGAAAGCGAUGGGGAGCCA